AUUGGACCAGAUGUUUGGGAGCUCUGUUAUACCAUACUCUGGAUUGCCACUGAAUGAAGGGUUUAAACAGAAGAGUAACCUGGGGAAAUUUGGACGUGGAUGGACACAUGCAAACCACAUGAAGAUGAAGGCAGAGAACAAUGUGAUGUGUCUACAAGCCAAAAAUGCCAAAGAUUGCCAACAAAGCCCCAGAAGCUAGGAGAGAAGCCUGGAACAUGUCCUUCCCCAACACCUUCAGAAAGAACGAAUCCUGCCAACACCUUGACUUUGGACUUCUAGCCUCCAGAACGGACCCGUCUGUUUUGUGAAUGUCUUCAGGAUCUUAGCAAACGAUCCUUUCUUGGCCAGCAGAGUGCUGUAGGAUCCCUUCUCCAAGAUGGUGCCAUUCCCCAGAACCACGAUCUCGU